UACGUAGGGGGCGAGCGUUGUCCGGAGUUACUGGGCGUAAAGCGUGCGCAGGCGGUUGUGCAAGACAGAUGUGAAAUCCCCGGGCUUAACCUGGGAAUUGCAUUUGUGACUGCACGGCUAGAGUGUGUCAGAGGGGGGUAGAAUUCCACGUGUAGCAGUGAAAUGCGUAGAUAUGUGGAGGAAUACCGAUGGCGAAGGCAGCCCCCUGGGAUAACACUGACGCUCAUGCACGAAAGCGUGGGGAGCAAACAGG
rnacentral:rRNA from 1 species